AGAGUUUGAUCCUGGCUCAGAACGAACGCUGGCGGCAUGCCUAACACAUGCAAGUCGAACGAGACCUUCGGGUCUAGUGGCGCACGGGUGCGUAACGCGUGGGAAUCUGCCCUUCGGUUCGGAAUAACAGUGGGAAACUACUGCUAAUACCGGAUAAUGACGUAAGUCCAAAGAUUUAUCGCCGAAGGAUGAGCCCGCGUAGGAUUAGCUAGUUGGUGAGGUAAAAGCUCACCAAGGCGACGAUCCUUAGCUGGUCUGAGAGGAUGAUCAGCCACACUGGGACUGAGACACGGCCCAGACUCCUACGGGAGGCAGCAGUGGGGAAUAUUGGACAAUGGGCGAAAGCCUGAUCCAGCAAUGCCGCGUGAGUGAUGAAGGCCUUAGGGUUGUAAAGCUCUUUUACCCGGGAUGAUAAUGACAGUACCGGGAGAAUAAGCUCCGGCUAACUCCGUGCCAGCAGCCGCGAUAAUAC
rnacentral:rRNA from 1 species